rnacentral:rRNA from 1 species
UACGAAGGGGGCUAGCGUUGCUCGGAAUCACUGGGCGUAAAGCGCACGUAGGCGGCUUUCUAAGUCAGGGGUGAAAUCCUGGAGCUCAACUCCAGAACUGCCUUUGAUACUGGAGAGCUUGAGUCCGGGAGAGGUGAGUGGAACUCCGAGUGUAGAGGUGAAAUUCGUAGAUAUUCGGAAGAACACCAGUGGCGAAGGCGGCUCACUGGCCCGGUACUGACGCUGAGGCGCGAAAGCCAGGGGAGCAAACGGG